AUUGAACGCUGGCGGCAUGCUUUACACAUGCAAGUCGAACGGCAGCACGGGGCAACCUGGUGGCGAGUGGCGAACGGGUGAGUAAUACAUCGGAACGUGCCCAAUCGUGGGGGAUAACGUAGCGAAAGUUACGCUAAUACCGCAUACGAUCUACGGAUGAAAGCGGGGGAUCGCAAGACCUCGCGCGAAUGGAGCGGCCGAUGUCAGAUUAGGUAGUUGGUGGGGUAAAGGCUCACCAAGCCGACGAUCUGUAGCUGGUCUGAGAGGACGACCAGCCACACUGGGACUGAGACACGGCCCAGACUCCUACGGGAGGCAGCAGUGGGGAAUUUUGGACAAUGGGCGCAAGCCUGAUCCAGCCAUGCCGCGUGCGGGAAGAAGGGCC
rnacentral:rRNA from 1 species